AUGGGUGUGUGAUAGUGGGUUGUUCUCUGUGGAUGGUGGAUUUCCUGAAGAGGGAGGCCCUACCCUGGGUGUGGGUGGCUCCAACCAAUAGGCUUGUUGCCUGGAUGGGAAAAGAAAAAAGAAGGAAGUCUUGCUACUUCCUGCCUUCCGUGCCCCUGCCAUAGAGCCAGCCCACGGUGGACUGAGACCUCUACAAACCACAGGGUCAUGCUAUGUAGUUCAGGCUGGCCUUGAACUCACUAUGUAGCCCAUGGCGGCUUCCAAAUCAUGGUGAUCUCGCCUCAGCCUCCCAAGUGCUGCGAUCACAGCACUCGUGACACAGCACACACCUCCACACCUAGACCCGUGUGUCAUGACCCCCAAAGGUACCUGAGACAACCAGCAAAGUGACUGUGCCUGCACCCUCCGCCCCGGGAGACAGCGCACCUGAGCACUGUUACCGGAGCCUUCAGGGCGUCCUGCCCCUGCACACUUCUCCAGGCUGCCCACGGAGCACGCGUCUCACCUCAGUGAGCGCCCGUCCUCCAGGAAAUGACUCCAGCAGCCUCUCCUAGAGUAACCGUGUUGUGGAGCCUCACAGGACAGCAGCAGUCGCGACCAUCGUCUUCUUGCCCUAAGCCACUCAUGUGGAGAAAGCAAUAAUGUCCUUCCCACUUGCAUUAUUUUUCAGGUCGCCUGGGACCGGACCCAGGGCGAGGACCGUACUGUGCCUGGUUUGGCGUAGGGCUGCGUUCUGGCCUCCGCCCGCUAGGUGUCAGUAGCUCCCCGGUUUCCGGCCUCGGCGUCGUGGUCUGUGGCCUUUGAUCGCCGUGUCUUCCGGAAGGCGUCCGGGCGGAGGGACCUGGCUCGCCGAGUCCGCCCGUGCCCGGUGCGACCCGUGCUUUUGUUUCCGGCCACUUCGGUUCCUUUGCUCGCCGCCGACCAAAUCCGAGGAGGGGAAGGGACGGGACGGGAGGCGUCUUCACGGCGUCGCACAGAUCUCCGCCUCCCCGAGGGCAGGGCCGGGGUCCCAGCCGGCACCGUGGGCUCCUCCCGCUCUGUCCGCGCGGCCGCCGAGGGGCGCGGAGAGGCCGCGGUGCUGCUGCGUGCGUGGCGGGAGGGAGUUUGGAGAAGCUGCGUUUCUCUAACCCAAAGAAGCCUGCCCCGCAGAGCGCCUGUCUGCGGCGGCUUUCGUUGUCCACCUCCCUGUCAGACUUCUGCCGCCUAAGACAGAGGUCCCAUGGCUGAUGCAUGAUGAACGGCCUAUUGCUAGCAUUCUUCAUGCUAUCAAAGAGAGAUGGGGGAAUUAUGGCGAGCCAUUAUGGUGAGCCUUGAC